rnacentral:tRNA from 1 species
AGGUAGAAAGAAAGUUUCCACAUUGAUUUGAAAUCAAUUAGAUUGUUUAAUUACAAGCUUCAUU